rnacentral:rRNA from 1 species
GACGAACGCUGGCGGCGUGCUUAACACAUGCAAGUCGAACGGAAAGGCCCUGCUUUUGUGGGGUGCUCGAGUGGCGAACGGGUGAGUAACACGUGAGUAACCUGCCCUUGACUUUGGGAUAACUUCAGGAAACUGGGGCUAAUACCGGAUAGGAGCUCCUGCUGCAUGGUGGGGGUUGGAAAGUUUCGGCGGUUGGGGAUGGACUCGCGGCUUAUCAGCUUGUUGGUGGGGUAGUGGCUUACCAAGGCUUUGACGGGUAGCCGGCCUGAGAGGGUGACCGGCCACAUUGGGACUGAGAUACGGCCCAGACUCCUACGGGAGGCAGCAGUGGGGAAUAUUGCACAAUGGGCGGAAGCCUGAUGCAGCAACGCCGCGUGCGGGAUGACGGUCUUCGGGUUGUAAACCACUUUCGCCUGUGACGAAGCGUGAGUGACGGUAAUGGGUAAAGAAGCACCGGCUAACUACGUG